CAUAUAUAAAUUACGGGAGGAGGAACACUGUCGGUCUAGUGUGUUAUCCACAUUGAAAUACAACCCUUAUUUUCAGGGGGUAAGGGCUUUGACUGGUUUGGGAUUCCGUUGCAAGAGAAGGAUGCCGUUGAAAUUUUAGAUAUCGGUACAUACCAAGCCACUGUGAAAUUCUGUGAGAUCUUGUUCAAGAACAGAGAACCUGACCAGAAAAAGUCUAAUUCGUGUGACUUGAUGGUACCAGAUUUCUUUAAGUGGUCAUACGUCAACGAUGAUGGUGGAGAAAUAACAUUAAAUUAUUGGCCCAACAAGCAACAAACACUCCGGAGUCGUUUAAGAUUCAAUUCUGUUUCUGAUGUAAUGGUUGAAGAGGGCGAGAUAUUGAGGCGCAGUAAGGUUAACCAGCCAGCAAAUGAUGAUGAUGAUGGUCUGGGAGGAUUCCCCUUUGACGGUGAAGAAGCUGAGACAGAAUAGAAGAAUAGAAUUUAUUUAUUACAACUUCUUCAUAUGUUUAGAGGAUGCAACAAUCUUCCUGAAGAGGUGAAAACUGUUUGGGGAUGCCAACACUUGCACUGAAGUCAGGGAAUUGCCUGCGGGCCAAGAGGCUGGAGCUCAUAUGACUCCUUUUCUUGGAUCAUAUCAGAAGAGGAGUUCCUAAGAAAAAAAAAAAAUAUCAUCUCUUACAGUUUACUUGCACAUGGAUAUAAGAUGAUUGGGGAGGGUGAUCCCUGAUCCAGAUAGAUGACCUCCUUCUAAGGGUGGUAAAGGGUUUUCUGAAGUAGCCAACCAAGUUCCUGCCAUGGGUUUGAAGUACGGGAUUCAUGUCAUGAGGGGAAUAAUUGCACAAGCAGUCAAUGCAAACACACCAAUCUUGGACAUCACAAAGUAAAGCAUGACUGCAUCUUUAGUGAUUACUUGGACAUGAAUGAGAUAAGAACUGUGUCAGAGGGACUUUGCUAAUGCUGGUAUGGUAGGGGCCAGUGAUUUGCAGGGGAAGUCAUAGCCUGACUUAGAGAUGUUACCACUGGUGUGGCUAACUGAUCCAGGUGAAAAGCAAGGAGAUGAAGAGAGCCCAAACUGUUGCUUUCCCUUUUAAGAGAUUCCCAUUCUGAUGAUAGUUAAUCCAAUCAAGGCUCAAUAGUGGAGUAUGUGUGGUUUGCUAUGGGUUCUGACAUGAGAAGCUUUGAGGCAAGGUACUGUAAAUUCAUCUACCUAGCUGAUCCCAACUAAUCAGAUUUGAGGAUGAUCACCUUCUGAUCCUCAAAACAGAAGAUGAAGGCCUUGCUGGAAUGCACCAAUGCCUUUGGUAUCCCAGAAGUCUUGGAUGCUUCUUGCUUGAACUCUGCCUUAUUAAGAGGCCUUAAAUUAUUGCAAUGGAUUUGUUCAAAUGUUAUUUUCUAUUUUUUACUGUAGACCACCAUCUACUUUCA